GUUACCCACAUCUGUUAAGGAUGUGAGGAGGAAGACGCAGUGAACUGAAACAUCUAAGUAGCUGCAGGAAGAGAAAGCAAAAGCGAUUGCCUUAGUAGCGGCGAGCGAAACGGCAGGAGGGCAAACCGAAGAGUUUACUCUUCGGGGUUGUAGGACUGCAAUGUGGACUCAAAGAUUAUAGAAGAAUGAUUUGGGAAGAUCAGCCAAAGAGAGUAAUAGCCUCGUAUUUAAAAUAGUCUUUGUACUUAGCAGUAUCCUGAGUACGGCGGGACACGUGAAAUCCCGUCGGAAUCUGGGAGGACCAUCUCCCAACCCUAAAUACUCCCUAGUGACCGAUAGUGAACCAGUACCGUGAGGGAAAGGUGAAAAGCACCCCGGGAGGGGAGUGAAAUAGAACCUGAAACCGUGUGCCUACAA
rnacentral:rRNA from 1 species